GUGGGUAUAGCUCUGUGGUAGAGUGCAUGCCUAGCAUGCAUGAGGAUCUGGGUUCAAUCCCCAGCACCUCCA
rnacentral:tRNA from 1 species